GUUGUGCCGAAUUCUGCACCCCCGCCGUAAAAUGCACCCCCUGUCGGGAGCGCGCUUACGUCACUCGGUUGCAUCACCCGUCUCGAAAAGUAGCUAAACUCGGCUAAAAUCGCCUCUUUCGGCAUAAAAAUGUACAUAACAAGGUGAAUAAUCCAAGUUGUCUUUACUUUGGAUAUAUUAAUGGAUGGAUUAAUUGUGAUUCUUUAAUGAUUUCGCCGCCAUUGCCUUUAAUGAUUUCGUCGUCAUUCAGAGACAUCAAGGAGAACGAAUGUUUGCUGCUUCACUCGACGGGAUCCAAUACAUGUAUUUUAAAAAUAUGACAUUUUCUUUAACUGUAAGAAGCUCAUGGGUGGAUGGAUGAAUACAUUAAUAAAUGAAUGCAUCUGA